UUCCAUUAGCAUAUAUCUUCCCCGCCUCGGGGUGUGAUUUUUAGUAUUAUAAUGAGCUCUUUGUUCCAGUACCUCUGAUUCUGUUUUUUGUUUUCAAGCUUCCUCUAUCUAAGACUGUCUGCCCCUUAUCAUUGCAGAUGGGCAUUCGACACACAACAUUCACUUUUGCUUAGGCUUUGCAUAGUAGUUUCUAGGUCAAACCUUACAGUAAGACAGCUGCUGAAUCCUCCAAACUUCAGUAUUUUAUGCUGUUAAGACUGAAUUGAAUUCCACAGGUCAACUGAAGAAUUGUAACAGUGAAAUUUAUUUUCUACAAAUGAACCACCAGUGGUUCAUGCAAACUUCACUAAUAGCAGUUCUGUUCAUUUUGUUCUGGAAAGAGUGUUCUGCAAGGCGGUUUUCUGGAAGCAAGAGGAUGAAGGGGAAGGGGAAAAGAAGCCAGGCACCAGAUUCUGCCCAGGGAAGUGCAAUCCCAGACGUAUCCUUUCCCGCCAGCUUGAUUUAUGGACGGAUGAGCUAGCCUGAGCCCUGCCAGCUGGAACAACUAACAUAGUUGUUCAGAUGACCGGACCGUCUGCAUCGCAACUACAAGCGGCUCCAGGGAAGACCAAGAAGCCAUCCUGCCACCCAGCUGAAAAAUGAAGGAUCCACACUUUGAGGCUGUACAAAAACUGCUUCCUGCCUGCAUUGGGACCAACAAUCUGUUGCUAAUGAAGCACCCUGGAUGUGCAGCACCAUCCUGUGCAACAGGACACUGACAGAGGGGCAACCAUAUGUACUGCAAAUGUUUUGGCAGUGCCGUGCAGACUUAACUAGAAUUUCCAUGCUCUUGUCAUUUUAUGGCUCAAUACUAAUGUUACUUUAACAUCAUUUUUCUGUGUUUAAUUUAUUUAUUGUCUCUGGUGGUAGACUUGGAGACUGGUGAGCUAGAUUACAUUAAAAUGUUAGAGUAAUAGUAGAAGAAAGCAAUUAUCUUUGUGCAUAAAAAUCAUUUUAAUUAGACAGUCAGUAAAGUGGGAAUGGACAGACUAUGAUGAAUCAUCAUAUCAUGGUUUAAUUAGAGAGUUGUGGGGAGGGGAAGGGAAAGUGGAAACAAAGAGAAAGGUUUUGACCAGAUAAUUUUAACAUAGAAUAAAUGUAGAAACUGUAUAGAAUUCUUCCAUGUAAACUCACUUUGCAAGCCACCAUAAUAGCCCAUUAAUAAAACCAACAUACUUUUCAGUAA